rnacentral:rRNA from 1 species
UGAGGAAUAUUGCGCAAUGGGCGAAAGCCUGACGCAGCAACGCCGCGUGGGUGAUGAAGGCCUUCGGGUCGUAAAGCCCUGUCAGGUGGGAAGAAUGUCCCGGGACUGAACAGGUUCCGGGAGUGACGGUACCUCCGGAGGAAGCACCGGCUAACUCCGUGCCAGCAGCCGCGGUAAUACGGAGGGUGCAAGCGUUAAUCGGAAUCACUGGGCGUAAAGCGCACGUAGGCGGUCCUGCAAGUCAGGCGUGAAAUCCCUUGGCUCAACCGGGGAAUUGCGUUUGAAACUGCAGGGCUGGAGUACUGGAGAGGGUGGCGGAAUUCCCGGUGUAGGAGUGAAAUCAGUAGAUAUCGGGAGGAACACCAGUGGCGAAGGCGGCCACCUGGACAGAUACUGACGCUGAGGUGCUAAAGCGUGGGGAGCAAACA